rnacentral:lncRNA from 1 species
AAGAUUUCUAGUGAAGUCUUCUAGGAAGUCUUUCAAAACCUAACCUAAUCAAAUAAAUAACCAAAUAACAAAAAAAACAAUUCAUUAAACUUAAAUCAACUUAUAAAGUGUUUUACACAAAACUAAACACAUGUAAAUCAAAUUUAUUUUUUAUUUUUUAAAAGUUAAGAUUUUGAAAUCUAAUCGUAAAAAUACAAACAAUAUUAUAACAUAUGUUACCAAACCUAAACCAAAG